AUACUUACCUGGCAGGGGAGAUGCCAUGAUCAUGGAGGUGGUUUUCCAAGGCGAGGCUUAUACAUUGCACUCUGGAUGUGCUGACCCCUGCGAUUUCCCAAAAUGUGGGAAAAUUGAUUGCAUAAUUUGUGGUAGUGGGGGACUGUGCUUGCUCUCUCCCCUU
rnacentral:snRNA from 1 species